UCCGAGUUGACCCCGGCAGUCUCCCAUGAAUCCCCGCCACUACGCGCUGGCAACAUGGAACGAGGGUUGCGCUCGUUGCGGGACUUAACCCAACAUCUCACGACACGAGCUGACGACAGCCAUGCACCACCUGUAUACGGCCCCGAAGGACACUACAUCUCUGCAGCUUUUCCGUAUAUUUCAAGGGUAGGCAAGGUUUUUCGCGUUGCAUCGAAUUAAUCCACAUAAUCCACCGCUUGUGCGGGUCCCCGUCAAUUCCUUUGAGUUUUAACCUUGCGGCCGUACUCCCCAGGCGGUCAACUUCACGCGUUAGCUUCGUUACCAAGGAAUUGCUUCCCCGACAACCAGUUGACAUAGUUUAGGGCGUGGACUAC
rnacentral:misc_RNA from 1 species